UGGAGGUAAUGUGUGAUCCAGGAGUUAAGAGGAGAGUGGAUGUCUUGCUGGGAUACACUUCCUCCUUCAAUCACGUGUCCAUGGAGAGAGGCAGGGGAUUUGGGGCAUUGAUUAGACGAGGUGGGGUAGCUUGGGAAUUGGCGGAGCAGUCUACCGAUGGCAGGUCACGGCUGGCAUGUAGUCCUGGCAGAGUGGAACCUCUGCAGGCUCAGUUUGCAGCGGCACCAUGCCUAAAGGAGAGCCGAGAUUGCGGGCUCCUCUUCAAGCUGGACAGGCCAAGAGGGACCCCAAUAGAGGAGGGAAGUGUGGCAACACAUGGAAGUGGCUUAGGCCCCGGAAGGAAGCGUGGCUAGAACAAGGCAGGACACCCAUCGUAGGCAAAGGCCAGACGGUGGGAUACAAAGCUUGCCAUAUCAUAAAGUUACUAUUUACACUGCGGACCACCCUCUCCCAGAGUCUCCAAGUUGCAGGGGGAGGAACAUUUUUGAAAUUAUUGGAAGCUAGUUAAUCAUGAAACAUGAUAGCCCAUGAAGUCAGUGAUGUAAAUUGUGAAGCAUAAGCCUUGGUUUUGUUUUCUCCUGAAGAAAUGUAAGUACAGGAGAACUGUCACCAAGCUAAAAAUGAAGAACAAAGGAGAACUGGGGAGGGGCCAGUUUCACCUUGGCAUUGAAGAUGGCCGUCUCUCUGCACCUGUUCCACCUGCUGCCUGGCUGGUCUCCACUCCUUUAUUGUUUGUGUUUCUGCACUGCCCCGAGGAGCCGUUCCUGAGAAGUAGCACUUUGCUUUGCAGGCGAUGCUCACCUUUAUGAAUGUUUUGAUUCAACCACAGGCAGAGAAUCUGGAAGCAAGGUGACAAUCUUUCUCUAAUGCGAGGCCAAGUUAUGCUGGAGCUGGGGUGUGUGCACAGGGAUUCCGGGGUGCAGGUCUGCUGGUCAGGACCAGCCUGAAUAUGACUCUCCUUCAUAGAGGAAAAAUGGAAGCAAACCAGAAGAGAAUUGCUCUGCUCUCUUUCUUGCAUCAUCUUCAUCAAGCAAUGAACUUACCCGUGUUUUUUGUUUUAUUAUUAAAAACAUAGUUUUAACAACAACACUCUUAAUUUUGGUCCCACCGAAGUUGGUAUCUGGAAUGUUUUACCAGCAGCCAGGUUGGUGGGGUAGCAGAUAGACAG